UACGUAGGGUGCAAGCGUUAAUCGGAAUUACUGGGCGUAAAGGGCGCGUAGGCGGCCUGUUAAGUCGGACGUGAAAUCCCCGGGCUCAACCCGGGAACUGCGUCCGAUACUGGCAGGCUUGAAUCCGGGAGAGGGAUGUGGAAUUCCAGGUGUAGCGGUGAAAUGCGUAGAUAUCUGGAGGAACACCGGUGGCGAAGGCGGCAUCCUGGACCGGUAUUGACGCUGAGGCGCGAAAGCCAGGGGAGCAAACGGG
rnacentral:rRNA from 1 species